UAGGGAAUCUUCCGCAAUGGACGCAAGUCUGACGGAGCAACGCCGCGUGAGUGAAGAAGGAUUUCGGUUCGUAAAACUCUGUUGUUAGAGAAGAACAGCGCAUAGAGUAACUGUUAUGCGUGUGACGGUAUCUAACCAGAAAGCCACGGCUAACUACGUGCCAGCAGCCGCGGUAAUACGUAGGUGGCAAGCGUUGUCCGGAUUUAUUGGGCGUAAAGCGAGCGCAGGCGGUCAAUUAAGUCUGAUGUGAAAGCCCCCGGCUCAACCGGGGAGGGUCAUUGGAAACUGGUUGACUUGAGUGCAGAAGAGGAGAGUGGAAUUCCAUGUGUAGCGGUGAAAUGCGCAGAUAUUAGGAAGAAUACCGGUGGCGAAGGCGACUUUCUGGUCAUCAUCUGACGCUGAGGUACGAAAGCGUGGGUAGCAAACAGG
rnacentral:rRNA from 1 species